rnacentral:tRNA from 1 species
GGCGACGUGGGUGAGCGGUCGAAGCCAAGGGUCUGCAAAACCCUUUACCGCAAGUUCGAAUCUUGCCGUCGCCU